UACGAAGGGUGCUAGCGUUGUUCGGAAUUACUGGGCGUAAAGAGUGUGUAGGCGGUGCUCUAAGUUCGGUGUGAAAUCUCCCGGCUUAACUGGGAGGGUGCGCCGGAAACUGGAGUGCUCGAGCGUGGGAGAGGAAAGCGGAAUUCCUGGUGUAGCGGUGAAAUGCGUAGAUAUCAGGAGGAACACCUGCGGUGUAGACGGCUUUCUGGACCAUUGCUGACGCUGAGACACGAAAGCGUGGGUAGCAAACAGG
rnacentral:rRNA from 1 species